GGGGGAGAGCUGCCUGAUUGCUGGUGUUCGCAACAUGGAUAAUAACUUUAUACUGGGACAUAAUGGACUUCAUAAAACAUAUGGAUUAUUGCUGCUUUUGAUAGGAUUUCAGCAAGUACUACUAACAAGUGGAGAGGGACUGACGCCAACUAUCAUAGCCCCAGACUUUGUGACAGUGGGGGUGCCCAGCAGUGUGGAGUGUGUGGCUAAUUGUGUGUCGUGUACUUACUCUCUGUCUCUGGAUGGACAGACAGCUCCUGCACAGGACAAGUCUGUGGCUUUCACUGUCAACUAUUACACCGAGAACCUGACUGUGGCCUGCUCAGUAACCGAAGGAAAGCAAAUUGCUACAGCUACUAAGAAAAUACAAGUGUUAGUUGGUCCAGUAAAUGUGUCCAUCUCGGGCAGUGACCUCCUCAACCCCUCUGUGAGUCAAACCUUCAGCUGCCACGCCCUCUGUCGGCCAUCUUGUGUGUACUCUUGGAGGUUUGGCUCUGGUCCACAAGUCAGUGGACAGGGGAAUGUUUUCUCUGUGACCCCCAGCGAGAUGGACAGAUCUACAGUACUGAUUUGUAAGGCCACUAACACAGUGUCCGGGCUGUUUGUCUAUGCAACACAACAGAUCACUGUCAAUGUGGGUCCUUUAGAUAUGAAGAUCGCAGGCCCAGAUGUUAUAGAGAUGGGAAGAAAGGCUAAAUUUGAGUGCUCAGCUGUAUGCCAGCCCUCCUGUCGUUUCGUCUCAUCUGUGGACACUCAAAGCGUCAGAGGACAUGUGAUUGAGUUGACAGUUGAUCUUCCUCUAAAAUCAGUGACUAUUAAGUGUCAGGCUCAAAACACAGCAUCAAGAAAGUCUGCCACUACGACAAAAACUGUACAGAUUAAAGGUAGAUGUCUUUUAAGAAUUCCAAUAAAUCAUAAUGAC
ensembl:lncRNA